CUAGUAACGGCGAGUGAACCGGGAAGAGCUCAAAUUUGAAAUCUGGCGUGCUCAGUGCGUCCGAGUUGUAAUCUAUAGAGGCGUUUUCCGUGCCGGACUGUGUCUAAGUCCCUUGGAACAGGGUAUCAAAGAGGGUGAUAAUCCCGUACUUGACACAAUGACCGGUGCUCUGUGAUACGUCUUCUACGAGUCGAGUUGUUUGGGAAUGCAGCUCAAAAUGGGUGGUGAGUUCCAUCUAAAGCUAAAUAUUGGCGAGAGACCGAUAGCGAACAAGUACCGUGAGGGAAAGAUGAAAAGCACUUUGGAAAGAGAGUUAAACAGUACGUGAAAUUGUUGAAAGGGAAACGAUUGAAGUCAGUCGUGACUGAGAGGCUCAGCCGGUUCUGCCGGUGUAUUCCCCUCAGUCGGGUCAACAUCAGUUUUGUUCGGUGGAUAAGGGCAGCUGGAAGGUGGCACCUCCGGGUGUGUUAUAGCCAGCUGUCGCAUACAUCGAAUGAGACUGAGGAAUGCAGCUCGCCUUUAUGGCCGGGGUUCGCCCACGUCCGAGCUUAGGAUGUUGACA
rnacentral:rRNA from 1 species